GACGAACGCUGGCGGCGUGCUUAACACAUGCAAGUCGAACGGAAAGGCCCUGCUUGCAGGGUUCUCGAGUGGCGAACGGGUGAGUAACACGUGGGUGAUCUGCCCUGCACUUCGGGAUAAGCCUCGUCAACUGGGUCUAAUACCGGAUAGGAGCCAUUUUUAGCGUGAUGGUUGGAAAGUUUUUUCGGUGUAGGAUGAGCUCACGGCCUAUCAGCUUGUUGGUGGGGUAAUGGCCUACCAAGGCGGCGACGGGUAGCCGGCCUGAGAGGGUGGACGGCCACAUUGGGACUUAGAUACGGCCCAGACUCCUACGGGAGGCAGAAGUGGGGAAUAUUGCACAAUGGGCGCAAGCCUGAUGCAGCGACGCCGCGUGGGGGAUGACGGCCUUCGGGUUGUAAACUCCUUUCGCUAGGGACGAAGCUUUUUGUGACGGUACCUAGAGAAGAAGCACCGGCUAACUACGUG
rnacentral:rRNA from 1 species